rnacentral:misc_RNA from 1 species
UCACCAACCUCUCCGGCACAC